rnacentral:rRNA from 1 species
AUUGAACGCUGGCGGCAUGCCUUACACAUGCAAGUCGAACGGUAACGGGUCCUUCGGGAUGCCGACGAGUGGCGAACGGGUGAGUAAUAUAUCGGAACGUGCCCAGUAGUGGGGGAUAACUGCUCGAAAGAGCAGCUAAUACCGCAUACGACCUGAGGGUGAAAGGGGGGGAUCGCAAGACCUCUCGCUAUUGAAGCGGCCGAUAUCAGAUUAGCUAGUUGGUGGGGUAAAGGCCUACCAAGGCAACGAUCUGUAGUUGGUCUGAGAGGACGACCAGCCACACUGGGACUGAGACACGGCCCAGACUCCUACGGGAGGCAGCAGUGGGGAAUUUUGGACAAUGGGCGCAAGCCUGAUCCAGCAGUGCCGCGUGCAGGAAGAAGGCCUUCGGGUUGUAAACUGCUUUUGUCAGGGAAGAAAUCUUCUGGGCUAAUACCCCGGGAGGAUGACGGUACCUGAAGAAUAAGCACCGGCUAACUACGUGCCAGCAGCCGCGGUAAUACGUAGGGUGCGAGCGUUAAUCGGAAUUACUGGGCGUAAAGCGUGCGCAGGCGGCUUUGCAAGACAGAUGUGAAAUCCCCGGGCUCCACCUGGGAGCUGCAUUUGUGACUGCAAGGCUAGAGUACGGCAGAGGGGGAUGGAAUUCCGCGUGUAGCAGUGAAAUGCGUAGAUAUGCGGAGGAACACCAAUGGCGAAGGCAAUCCCCUGGGCCUGUACCGACGCUCAUGCACGAAAGCGUGGGGAGCAAACAGGAUUAGAUACCCUGGUAGUCCACGCCCUAAACGAUGUCAACUGGUUGUUGGACGGCUUGCUGUUCAGUAACGAAGCUAACGCGUGAAGUUGACCGCCUGGGGAGUACGGCCGCAAGGUUGAAACUCAGAGGAAUUGACGGGGACCCGCACAAGCGGUGGAUGAUGUGGUUUAAUUCGAUGCAACGCGAAAAACCUUACCUACCCUUGACAUGUCAAGAAUUCAGCAGAGAUGUGGAAGUGCUCGAAAGAGAACUUGAACACAGGUGCUGCAUGGCCGUCGUCAGCUCGUGUCGUGAGAUGUUGGGUUAAGUCCCGCAACGAGCGCAACCCUUGUCAUUAGUUGCUACGCAAGAGCACUCUAAUGAGACUGCCGGUGACAAACCGGAGGAAGGUGGGGAUGACGUCAGGUCCUCAUGGCCCUUAUGGGUAGGGCUACACACGUCAUACAAUGGCUGGUACAGAGGGCUGCCAACCCGCGAGGGGGAGCCAAUCCCAGAAAACCGGUCGUAGUCCGGAUCGUAGUCUGCAACUCGACUGCGUGAAGUCGGAAUCGCUAGUAAUCGCGGAUCAGCUUGCCGCGGUGAAUACGUUCCCGGGUCU